UUCAUCCCUCCAUACAAACCAAUCCCAACAUCACCAUUUAAACUCAUAAAUUAAGGUCACCAUCUUUGUUUCUAUUUCAAACCACCACCAUCACCGGCAGUAAUUGCCGCCACCAACAACCACCGAAAACACCACCCACUCCAACCACUGUGAAGACCACCAAUUCCAGCCACCGUACCACCUUCCCUGUCUCUCUCGCCCUUGCGCCCAACUCCCUGCCUUCCUCUACUCCACGCAACCACCGCCACAAUCUCCACCCCUUUCCUUCGACCAAAUCGGCCCGCAGUGCCGCACUCCCCUGCCUCUAUCAUUCUUUGCCUCUGCCGCGCCACCCAGCCACAAAGACACCACACUCCGGCCACCUAACCUCGUCUUAGAACCAUCUCCGCCCCAAACAACCCAGCGAACGGCCGCUGCGCCGCCCAGACUCGACCGGAAACCACCCCUCUGCUUUCCCCUGUUCGCGCGACCAUUCCCCCCCUUCCUUGCCGUUUCGCCGUCGCGAAACCACACCACCACCACCGUCUCUCCGGCGCUUCCCUGCUGCGCCGCCUCCCAUACCGCCGCCCACCAUCUCCUCUCUCCUUCCUCUUCGUGCUUCCCUCCUCCUUCGUGCCCUCCCCCUCCCCUGCUCUCGUGCCUCCCUUUCCAGAAAAAGAAAACAAGUUCCAUUUAGGAACUUUGUUUCUUUUAUUUCUCUAAGCCAAGCCCAAAUCACUUAGCCCAGUUUUCCCAAUAAUCGAACUCGGAACUCAGGAAGAACGGUCCAUCGAACAGGGAAUAUAAACUACGGUUGAGGUACGAAGAAGAUCAGGGGAUGCCUUAGAGUGAGGAUGCAACCAUCAAAUUCACGAUCGAUGCUUAAUAAAGAUAAUCAUGUAUCACUAGUAAUAAUGGAUGAACAAAUUAAACUCUAAGUCAAAUUUCAAUUAUUGAGUUGGAUUUUAAUAUUUAUAUUUAAUCAAUGUUAGGAAUAUUUAUUAAAUUUCAUUUAGAUUUCGAUGUAAAUAUUAAAGAAAUAAUCGAAGUGAAGUAUAAUUACUGUUA